AGAGGGAAUAAGUAGACGUGCAAUUCAUUUCAUUCCAAAUGUAAAUUCGGCCGAAUUUCUGGCAAUUCGUACAUUUGGAUGCUUCCAAAUGUCCGAAGUGCCGAAUUUCGGAAGUGCCAAAGUCCUUUGGAUUUCUGAAAAGUGGCAAAACAAGAGAAUUACGUGAAUGAUGACCGGGUUGGGGUAGGGUUAGCGUUAGUGGUAGGGUUAGGA